CUCCACUGUAAUCAUUUUUGUCACAAAUGAUCUGACCCUUUUUCUUUUCCUCUUUGUACCUUGCACGAUUCCGAUGACCGUGACUAAUGGCGAUUGUUUUAGCUGGCAUGCCUGGUAAGCACAAGUUUCUGUUUAUUCACCCCGUAAUCACUUUGACCUUAACCUCCUCUUCCUGUUUGUCUGAUGGAUGUCCAGAUCGAUAUCCGGAAUUGUCCACCGGUACGUAGAAGCAUGUGUGCCUCCUUUAAUCAACUGACUCCAGCUUUAAAUGAAUAUUUCUGCAGUUUUCAAGAUUCGGCAAGCGAAGCGUUGAGAAUGUGGAAGACAUUCCCUAUCCGGUGCUGCUGAAGGGAAAUUCCAAGAACCUAGCGGAAGUACUCUGGAGACUGUGGAUUCUGAGGGACCUGACCGAUAUGUCAUCUGCUGGCGGCGUCAACGACCCCGUCUUUCAGUCGUCUUCAUAAUUUUUGUCAUCUUCGCUUAUGGGUUGCCUGCUUUUGAGUUUUGGUUAUUAAGUCCUACCUAUGAAGCUUCCGAAACAUGUACAAAUUAUUUCAUGCUGUAUAGCUCUCAGUUUUUCCGUCAGUUUAUUUGUUUCUGAGUUUUCUGCAUUUCUUUUUGUAGCGCUACGUCCGUCGCAAAGCCCUUAGCUUAAACCGCUCGCAAACUCGCAAUACAUCGGUUGCAUAACUGUCAUGACAGCUCUAAGAUU